rnacentral:lncRNA from 1 species
UGGAGGAGGAAAAGAAAGUAGAAAAGAAGAGAUGAUUUACUGUUUAGAUUAGGAUUAAAGUAGGUGAACCACUAAUUAGACGUUAUGUUUGUAGGAAAGGUGAAGGGUUGGACUAAGGUGAGCGAACUAUUAAUUAGAUGUUAUAGGUGCAGGGAAGUCGACGUUAUGUGUAUAGGAAAGAUGAAGGGUUGGGUUAAGGUUAGUGGAUAGGUUAGUGGAUUAUUAAUUAGACGUUAUAGGUGAAGGGAAGGCAAAGAGUUGGUUUCGCUGAAGGAAGGAA